AACUUUGCUCAGUGGCAGUAUCAUAGCCAAUGAGGUUUAUCUGAGGCAUGAUUUUGCUAAUUGAAAAAUAAGAUCCACCUCGUUCAUUUUGUACCAUUAUUUACCUUGGUGGGAAUGCC
rnacentral:snRNA from 1 species